GCAACACAAAGUCGUCUAGAACCUAGACCCAGGACAGUUAAUCGAGACGACAUAUUCCGGCGGCGAAUUAACUGCACCAUUGCGAUGCCACAGCAACGAUAAUUAUAUUUCUCAGACAAGCUAUCCAAUUUGUUUCAAGGCUGGAAUGAAUUUGUGCUGCCUGCUGGAGAGCAGUUAAUAGAGAGGUUUACAGACAACAACUGCAGCACUGCAAGAAGUCAUUCACUCACUUCAGCAGUAUUAUAAGCGUGUUGCGGCCGCAUCAAGUUCUUGUCUGUUUUCUGGGAAGCCAUAUCUAUCAUAAAUACACAUCUAUAUAAAAAUAUACAUCGGAUUUCGUA